AGAGUUUGAUCCUGGCUCAGAUUGAACGCUGGCGGCAUGCCUUACACAUGCAAGUCGAACGGUAACAGGGAGCUUGCUCCGCUGACGAGUGGCGAACGGGUGAGUAAUAUAUCGGAACGUACCAUUCAGUGGGGGAUAACGUAGCGAAAGUUACGCUAAUACCGCAUAUUCUGUGAGCAGGAAAGCAGGGGAUCGCAAGACCUUGCGCUGAUUGAGCGGCCGAUAUCAGAUUAGCUUGUUGGUGAGGUAAAAGCUCACCAAGGCGACGAUCUGUAGCGGGUCUGAGAGGAUGAUCCGCCACACUGGAACUGAGACACGGUCCAGACUCCUACGGGAGGCAGCAGUGGGGAAUUUUGGACAAUGGGGGCAACCCUGAUCCAGCCAUGCCGCGUGAGUGAAGAAGGCCUUCGGGUUGUAAAGCUCUUUCAGCCGGGAAGAAAACGCAUGGGUUAAUACCCUGUGUGGAUGACGGUACCGGAAUAAGAAGCACCGGCUAACUACGUGCCAGCAGCCGCGGUAAUACGUAGGGCGCAAGCGUUAUCCGGAAUUAUUGGGCGUAAAGAGCUCGUAGGCGGUUUGUCGCGUCUGCCGUGAAAGUCCGGGGCUCAACUCCGGAUCUGCGGUGGGUACGGGCAGACUAGAGUGAUGUAGGGGAGACUGGAAUUCCUGGUGUAGCGGUGAAAUGCGCAGAUAUCAGGAGGAACACCGAUGGCGAAGGCAGGUCUCUGGGCAUUAACUGACGCUGAGGAGCGAAAGCAUGGGGAGCGAACAGGAUUAGAUACCCUGGUAGUCCAUGCCGUAAACGUUGGGCACUAGGUGUGGGGGACAUUCCACGUUUUCCGCGCCGUAGCUAACGCAUUAAGUGCCCCGCCUGGGGAGUACGGCCGCAAGGCUAAAACUCAAAGGAAUUGACGGAU
rnacentral:rRNA from 1 species